CGGGAUAUAGCGCAGUUUGGUAGCGUGCCAUCUUGGGGUGAUGGAGGUCGCAGGUUCAAAUCCUGCUAUUCCGA
rnacentral:tRNA from 1 species